GCCGGGCGCGGUGGCGUGCGCCUGUAGUCCCAGCUACUCAGGAGGCUGAGGCAGGAGGAUCGCUUGAGCCCAGGAGUUCUGGGCUGUAGUACGCUAUGCCAAUCGGGUGUCCGCACUAGGUUCGGCAUCAAUAUGGUGACCUCCAGGGAGCGGGGGACCACCAGGUUGCCUAAGGAGGGGUGAACUGGCCCAGGUCGGAAACGGAGCAGGUCAAAACUCCCGUGCUGAUCAGUAGUGGGAUCACACCUGUGAAUAGCCACUGCACUCCAGCCUGGGCAACAUAGCGAGACCCUGUCUCUU
rnacentral:SRP_RNA from 1 species